CCAAAUCUCCCCAGUGUGCUCAUCCCCCGGUCUGCGGUCUCCUCAAGCCUCUGCACCCCAGCUCAGCGGAUGGCCCUGCCUCCCUCUCAUUCACAACCCAGGGACUCAGGCCAAAGGUGGUGGUGACACCCGCAUUUUCCUGGCCGCAGCAGCUGGGCCUGAAAACCGGCCCAUGGUCCAUGAACCCGAAUCCACAUUUUGCUGUUGCUAACUCAGAGGCUACGUCUGGAGGCCUGCGGACUGACGCC
rnacentral:lncRNA from 1 species